rnacentral:rRNA from 1 species
GAUGAACGCUGGCGGCGUGCCUAAUACAUGCAAGUCGAGCGAACAGACGAGGAGCUUGCUCCUCUGACGUUAGCGGCGGACGGGUGAGUAACACGUGGAUAACCUACCUAUAAGACUGGGAUAACUUCGGGAAACCGGAGCUAAUACCGGAUAAUAUAUUGAACCGCAUGGUUCAAUAGUGAAAGACGGUUUUGCUGUCACUUAUAGAUGGAUCCGCGCCGCAUUAGCUAGUUGGUAAGGUAACGGCUUACCAAGGCAACGAUGCGUAGCCGACCUGAGAGGGUGAUCGGCCACACUGGAACUGAGACACGGUCCAGACUCCUACGGGAGGCAGCAGUAGGGAAUCUUCCGCAAUGGGCGAAAGCCUGACGGAGCAACGCCGCGUGAGUGAAGAAGGUCUUCGGAUCGUAAAACUCUGUUGUUAGGGAAGAACAAAUGUGUAAGUAACUAUGCACGUCUUGACGGUACCUAAUCAGAAAGCCACGGCUAACUACGUG